CUUCUCUUAUAUAUUCCAUAAAAAAUAAAUAUUUUAGUUGUUAUUUUUUUCAAACUUAUUAUGAGUGCGUUUUAAAAUUAGUACCAGAAAUAGCAAUUGAAUUUAUGCAAAACGACUCUCAUUUGUUUGAUGUCCGUUCUUUAACGAUGGGAGCAGGGCAUGAUGGUUUGCUCAGGUAUAUGAGUUAUAUUGCUAAUGAAAAGGGAAAAGAAAAAGGAAACGGAAAAGAAAAUAAAAUGGAAAAUAAAAUGGAAAAUAAAAUGGAAAAUGAAAUGGAAAAUGAAAUGGAAAAUGAAAUGGAAAAUNNNNNNNNNNGAAAUGGAAAAUGAAAUGGAAAAUGAAAUGGAAAAUGAAAUGGAAAAAAAAGUAUAUUGUAGUACUAACACGAACACAUUAGGUUAUCUUAAUGUGUAUGACCAUAGCAAUGAUAUAACUAUGGGAACAACUACGGGAACAACUACGGGAACAACUACGGGAACAACUACAGGAACAACUACAGGAACAACUAUGGGAACAAGUAGUGUGCCAUAUGCCAAUCCCAACCCCAGUACGAAUUUUAAUUUAUACAUAGACAAGUGCAACGUGUAUGAUCAAUUAUUAAUGGCAAGUAAUAUUAUAGAAAAACUGUUUUAUAAUCAAGCAUUAAAUGAUAUGAACGGAUGUAUUUCUUUUUUAAACACAAAUUUAUUAAAAUAUUCUAACUUAUUAAUAUACUCCACCUUUUUAUCUAUGUUCAUAUAUAAAAAAUUAAUACAAAAAAAUGAAACGUUAAUUAUUAAAAAUGAUUUAAUAAGCACAAUUUAUAAUUUUUAUAAUGAACAGCUAUGUGCUCACUAUAUAUCUAUGUUUCAGAAUCCUUUAAAUUUAUUUUUAAAAAUGUCUAAACAAUUAUCUAUAAAGUUAGUAGAAUAUAAUCACUUAGACACUUUUUUACUUUUUUUGUUUAUCAAAUUUUAUAACUAUUUAUUAUUAAUACCUCCUAAAAUUAGACAUGACGAUGUUUUUCCUAUAAAUAUAGAAGAUGUACAUGCACUCCAACAAGUCUCGAUAAGUCAUUAUCUUGUGAAUGUAAAAAGGGAAAAUGAUAUUGAUGUAGCUGAUAUAACGGACGUAACGCCAUAUUAUAAUCCGAAUACGAAUACGAAUACGAAUACGAAUACGAAUACGAAUACGAAUACGAAUACGAAUACGAAUACGAAUACGAAUACGAAUACGAAUACGAAUACGAAUACGAAUACGAAUACGAAUACGAAUACGAAUACGAAUACGAAUACGAAUACGAAUACGAAUACGAAUACGAAUACGAAUACGAAUACGAAUACGAAUACGAAUACGAAUACGAAUACGAAUACGAAUACGAAUACGAAUACGAAUACGAAUACGAAUACGAAUACGAAUACGAAUACGAAUACGAAUACGAAUACGAAUACGAAUACGAAUACGA
rnacentral:lncRNA from 1 species